GGAGAGAGCCGCCUCGAUCCUGCCCACGCUUGUGAAGUUCGAGCUUGAGCUCGUUCAACUGUUCGGGCUAGGGACGAGGUCGAUGUGCGGCGGCCCGGGCUCCUACACGUGCUUGGCAACACUGCGCUCCAUCGGCCUGCCGCACAUCGCUCUCCACCCA
rnacentral:sRNA from 1 species